rnacentral:lncRNA from 1 species
GCUGGAGUGUCCUCAUGGCCCAGCAACUGGCAUCCUCCAGAGCAAGCAAUCUAAGAGAGCAAGAAGGAAGCUGCAAUGGUUUUUAUAGUCUAGCCUUGGAGUUCACACACUGUUACCUCUGCCGUUCUCUCUAGGUCCCUCAGAACAGCCGUCCUCCAAUGCGGAAGGAGACUAUGCAAAGGUGUGAGUACCAGGAGUCUUCGCUCCUUCUCCCAUGCCCACCACUGGCUACUGGUUCAGCAAGGAGUGACAGAGCCACUGUUUAAUGGGGUUCUCAAAGGAUAAAGAAACACUCAAAGCAAGGGAUCAAGCAGACCCAGCAAGACAGAAAGCAAGCCCCAUUUCAAGAAACCAAAGAUCUGGAGUAGGUUCCUUCUGAAAAACAUCAAGUGGCUAAAAGAGAAAUGACCUGAGAAAGAGAGAAAAUGUAUCUUUGCUGGGAUUACAAUAAUUCAUACUUUCGGGAAAAGCAUGAAACCCAUGAGACAGAAUCGUGCCUCUUCAGUGAAGCAUGUAGGAAGGAGCAUGAACUCAAAGGAAACAGAUCACAGGGGGAGAAGUGAAAGGCUGAACUCGAGGCGAGGAAGACCAUUCCCAGCACUGAGCAGAGCAGCUCAUCAGAGGAAAACACCGGAAACUUGCCUGGGCGAUGCAGCCCCCACUGCAGAGGACACAUUCCUUCCACAUGAACAACAGCAACAUCGUGCUAGGGUAAAGGGGAGGAGAAAACAAGGCCAGAAUUCAUUCCAGAGAAACUUUCUCCAGUGAGUGGCAUAUUUCCUCCACGGCAAGUUGAAGAAACCAAGGCAUAGACAAAGCCAAUGAUUUUUCCAAGACCACAUAGCUGGAAGUGGGAUUUACAAUCGCCAGGUUCACGUGACUUCAAAGUGCCCUCUCAGUUCACAGGACUUCAGACAGAGAGGAACUCUACUUGGAGAUCUGCGCUUAAAGACUACACCUAAGGAGAUUCGCCUGCACUGGGACCUGAUUUAAAGGAUGACGUCCUGGACUCCAGAGCUGAUGCUGUAUAGGCUUGAGACUUUUGGGAGGUAUUGAGAAGGAUGACAGUAUUUUGCAAGUGGGAGGAAUAUGAUGGUUAAAGUAUGUCCACAAAGUAUUUAACAUUAUUUUCAAAAAGUAGAGUGUAAUUCCCCUCCCCUUGAGAGUGGGCUGGACUUAGUGACUCACUUCUAAUGGAUAGAAUUGAGCAGAAGUGACAGUGUGUGACUUCAGAGGCCAGGUCAUAAAAGUCACUGUGUCUUUCUGCUUGCUCUUCCUUGUGGAUGCUGAACUCUGGGGGGACGUUGUGAGCAGUCUUAUGGAGAGGCCCACAUGAAACCCAGGCCUUCUGCCAACAACCAUUUGAGUGAAUCCUUUGGCAAGUGGAUCCUCCAGCCCCAGUCAAGCCUUCAGAUGACUCCAGGCCCAGUCAGCAUCUUAACUGCAACCUCAUGAGAGAACCAGAAACCCAGUUCAGAACUACCCACCCAAGUCACUGCCAGAUUCCUAAUCCUCAGAAACUGACUGAGAAAAUAAAUGUUCGUUGUCUUAAGUUACUAAAUUUCAGGGUAAUCUGUUUGGUAGAGACAGAUAAUUAACACAUCGGUGGUGAAAAAUUACCUGAUAAUAUUUUUAUGUUUGGAUUAGAAAGAAAGUUUUAGAUAAAUCCAAGAAAAUUCUUUUCAUACUACAGUCAUGGAAACUUCGAGUCAUUUGCCAUGAUUCUUGCUCCUGUCCUUUCAGUAUGAGCCCAAAAGUUCCUGUUGUCUUUAUUAUUUAAUUUUCCCCCUACAUUUUCUCUGUUUGGUAGCUGUCAAGGAGCUACACACAUACAGAGAGAGAGAGAGCACAGAAACAUUGGAGAGAUAGAAACAAUAUUACACAAAGGUAGCCACACUGGUAUGUAUAUACCAUAUUAACAUUAUAUAUUUAUUGAUAUAUAUCUGUAUAUACCUAUAUUUUUAUAUAUACAUAUGUAUCUAUAUAUCUGUGUGCAUGUAUAUAUACACAAAUAUAUAUACAAUUGAGUGAUCAAGUACAAAAAAUAAAUCUCUAAGAAUGUAC